GUUUGUCGCGCGUACCUUUACGAAUGGCAUAAAGAUUUCGCCGCCAUAAUUCAACAAAAACGUGCUGUUAAAACUUGCUCUGUUUACCAUUAACGACGAGCCUUUGGAAUUUUUUCAUAAUUUUGUCUAAAAGAAAAUAAAAAAUGCGUUAUUUAGUUGUAUAAUUCAUUUAUAAGAAAUAUUCUUUUUCUUUGUAUCUAGCCACGAUUUCCGGUUCCCGCCAUUUCGCGCCGGCGUCGUGGGUGUUUAGAUGCAACGUAGUGCUCCCGGUUUUAUUUUGUUUAAGCGACCUUUUCUGAAGUGUCAACCAAGGAUCAAACACUGGUCGUUGCGGGGAUCGGCUUCAGAGGGUCAAGGAUGGCGUUUUGAAUCGCUGUUCAGUCGACAGGCAACUGUAUGACAACGCCAUCCCUGUCAACCAGAGCGUCGACCGAAGUAGGGCGGCGUUGCGCGGACCUGGCCGCACCCGACCAACCUGUGGAGUACCUGACUCGGGCUGGGCGGAGACUAACUACAUCACGACCUUUUGAACUUUGAUCUCGUGGCGAGAAGCAAUAUGACGUAAGGAAGUGUGUAUGUGGCUGGCGGGGCCGAGGGUGAAAUGCGCCACGUGUUAUCCUGCCGGAUGACGACAGCGUCACCAACCUGUCAAAGAACGAGCUGACCAAAACACAGACAGGACUGAUAGCUUUUCGGUCGAGAAUGUUCUGAAGAUGCUGAUCAGUAACCAAUUGGUGACCGUUUUCAGUGGUAAUAUGGGAUCUUGUGGUGUUCCGAAGCGACCUGCUUUGGGUGUGCACAUAAGUGGCUCAACCUGACAGGAUUGAUGUUUUAGGUAGCCGUGCUAAUCAUAAACCCUAUAUUGAGUGUAUCUGUACAAAUUUUGUUUUGAUGUACCUAUUUGAUUCGAAACCGAAAAUUGCUCUUUGUAAUUAGGCAACAUCGAGACGUUGAGGUCAUUCUCCAGACGUUUAUUUGUUUUUUCUUACCUGUCCACGGUAUGUCUUAUUGGUUAGGUCUCAGUUUCAAAUAUUAUUAACUGCAUGUUUUGCAAAUACGUAACCACAUUGAAUAAGAGACGUGUCCUAAAAGUGAGUAUUGCUUUGCAUGGGAUGUGAGCAUCAACGACAGGGCUUUGUGAUGGCAAAUGUCAAUGUGUGGCAAUUGCAGGGAUCGUUGUGAAAUGUGUUAUAAAUAUCAUCGUAUUAUUUGCGAAUGCAAAUACAUCCGUGUAUCAUA